UACAGAGACUGCAAGCGUUAUUCGGAUUCACUGGGCGUAAAGGGUGCGCAGGCGGCCGUGUGUGUCAGGUGUGAAAGCCCGGGGCUUAACCCCGGAAUUGCGCCUGAAACUACAUGGCUAGAGCAUUGGAGAGGGUAGCGGAAUUCACGGUGUAGCAGUGAAAUGCGCAGAUAUCGUGAGGAACACCAGAGGCGAAGGCGGCUCUCUGGGACGGUACUGACGCUGAGACGCGAAAGCGUGGGGAGCGAACAGG
rnacentral:rRNA from 1 species